rnacentral:rRNA from 1 species
ACGGAGGGUGCAAGCGUUAUUCGGAAUUACUGGGCGUAAAGCGCGUGUAGGCGGUCCCGCAAGUCUGAUGUGAAAGCCCCGGGCUUAACCCGGGAAGUGCAUUGGAAACUGUGGGACUUGAGUACGGGUAAGGAAGGCGGAAUUCGCGGUGUAGCGGUGAAAUUCAUAGAUAUCGCGCAGAACACCGAUGGCGAAGGCAGCAAACUGGGCCAUAACUGACGCUGAGACACGAAAGCGUGGGGAUCAAACAG